AUUGAACGCUGGCGGCAGGCUUAACACAUGCAAGUCGAGCGAGCGGCGGACGGGUGAGUAAUGUCUGGGAACCUGCCUGAUGGAGGGGGAUAACUACUGGAAACGGUAGCUAAUACCGCAUACCAUCAGAUGUGCCCAGAUGGGAUUAGCUAGUUGGUGGGGUAAUGGCUCACCUAGGCGACGAUCCCUAGCUGGUCUGAGAGGAUGACCAGCCACACUGGGACUGAGACACGGUCCAGAGUCCUACGGGAGGCAGCAGUGGGGAAUAUUGCACAAUGGGGGCAACCCUGAUGCAGCCAUGCCGCGUGUGUGAAGAAGGCCUUCGGGUUGUAAAGCACUUUCAGCGGGGAGGCGUUACUCGCAGAAUAAGCACCGGCUAACUCCGUGCCAGCCGCCGCGGUAAUUC
rnacentral:rRNA from 1 species